GACGAACGCUGGCGGCGUGCUUAACACAUGCAAGUCGAACGAGGCGCUUAAGAUGAUUUCUUCGGAAUGAAUUUUUAGUUGCUUAGUGGCGGACGGGUGAGUAACGCGUGAGCAACCUGCCCAUAAGAGGGGGAUAACAGCUGGAAACGGCUGCUAAUACCGCAUAAGACCACAUUGCCACAUGGCAAAGGGGUCAAAGAUUUAUCGCUUAUGGGUGGGCUCGCGUCUGAUUAGCUAGUUGGUAGGGUAACGGCCUACCAAGGCAACGAUCAGUAGCCGACCUGAGAGGGUGAUCGGCCACACUGGAACUGAGACACGGUCCAGACUCCUACGGGAGGCAGCAGUGGGGAAUAUUGGGCAAUGGGGGAAACCCUGCCCCAGCAACGCCGCGUGAGGGAAGAAGGCUUUCGGAGUUGUAAACCUCUGUCCUAUGGGAAGAAGAAAGUGACUGUACCA
rnacentral:rRNA from 1 species